rnacentral:rRNA from 1 species
UUCUUUCUGGAUAAGCGCUGAAGGCAUCUAAGCGCGAAGCCUAUCCCAAAACUAGAAAUCCCUUUCCGAUUUAUCGGGAUGUAGGCAGGUUGAAGACUACGACCUUGAUAGGGUGCAGGUGUAAGCAUAGUAAUAUGUUCAGCCAAGCACUACUAAUAUGCCAAUCGGCUUGGUACU